rnacentral:lncRNA from 1 species
AAGCCACCCACCGUCAAACCACCUCCGUCCACCCCUAAACCACCUACCCACAAGCCACCAACAGUGUGCCCACCGCCAACACCAACACCAACCCCACCUGUUGUAACGCCACCAACACCACCAACACCAACUCCACCAGUCGUUACGCCACCAACACCAGCCCCACCUGUUGUAACGCCACCAACACCAACACCACCGGUCGUAACGCCACCGACACCAACCCCUCCUGUCGUAACACCUCCAACACCACCGGUCGUAACGCCACCGACACCAACUCCUCCUGUCGUAACACCACCAACACCACCGGUCGUAACGCCACCGACACCAACCCCUCCUGUCGUAACACCUCCAACACCACCGGUCGUAACGCCACCGACACCAACCCCUCCUGUCGUAACACCACCAACACCAACUCCACCUAAGCCAGAAACGUGCCCAAUCGACACGUUGAAGCUAGGCGCUUGUGUAGACGUUCUUGGAGGUUUAAUUCACAUCGGGCUUGGUGGAAGUAGCGCCAAGAAAGAGUGUUGUCCGGUUUUGGGAGG